AGAGUUUGAUCAUGGCUCAGGAUGAACGCUGGCGGUAUGCUUAACACAUGCAAGUCGAACGAGACUCUUCGGAGUCAAGUGGCGGACGGGUGAGUAACGCGUGAGAAUCUGCCCUCAGGUUCGGGACAACCACUGGAAACGGUGGCUAAUACCGGAUAGGCCGAAAGGUGAAAGAUUAAUUGCCUGAGGAGGAGCUCGCGUCUGAUUAGCUAGUUGGUGGGGUAAAGGCCUACCAAGGCGGCGAUCAGUAGCUGGUUUGAGAGGACGAUCAGCCACACUGGGACUGAGACACGGCCCAGACUCCUACGGGAGGCAGCAGUGGGGAAUUUUCCGCAAUGGGCGAAAGCCUGACGGAGCAAUACCGCGUGGGGGAGGAAGGCCCUUGGGUUGUAAACCUCUUUUCUCAGGGAAGAAUAAUGACGGUACCUGAGGAAUCAGCAUCGGCUAACUCCGUGCCAGCCGCCGCGGUAAUAC
rnacentral:rRNA from 1 species